rnacentral:rRNA from 1 species
ACGAACGCUGGCGGCGUGCUUAACACAUGCCAGUCGAACGGAAAGGCCCUGCUUUUGUGGGGUGCUCGUGUGGCGAACGGGUGAGUAACACGUGAGUAACCUGCCCUUGACUUUGGGAUAACUUCAGGAAACUGGGGCUAAUACCGGAUAGGAGCUCCUGCUGCAUGGUGGGGGUUGGAAAGUUUCGGCGGUUGGGGAUGGACUCGCGGCUUAUCAGCUUGUUGGUGGGGUAGUGGCUUACCAAGGCUUUGACGGGUAGCCGGCCUGAGAGGGUGACCGGCCACAUUGGGACUGAGAUACGGCCCAGACUCCUACGGGAGGCAGCAGUGGGGAAUAUUGCACAAUGGGCGGAAGCCUGAUGCAGCAACGCCGCGUGCGGGAUGACGGCCUUCGGGUUGUAAACCGCUUUCGCCUGUGACGAAGCGUGAGUGACGGUAAUGGGUAAAGAAGCACCGGCUAACUACGUG